rnacentral:rRNA from 1 species
CGUAGGCGGGGACGCGACCCAGGCGCACCCAGAAACCCUUUGUGAACUUAUACCUUACUGUUGCCUCGGCGCUAGCUGGUCCUCCGGGGCCCCUCACCCUCGGGUGUUGAGACAGCCCGCCGGCGGCCAACCUAACUCUUGUUUUUACACUGAAACUCUGAGAAUAAAGCAUAAAUGAAUCAAAACUUUCAACAACGGAUCUCUUGGUUCUGGCAUCGAUGAAGAACGCAGCGAAAUGCGAUAAGUAAUGUGAAUUGCAGAAUUCAGUGAAUCAUCGAAUCUUUGAACGCACAUUGCGCCCUCUGGUAUUCCGGAGGGCAUGCCUGUUCGAGCGUCAUUUCAACCCUCAAGCCUGGCUUGGUGAUGGGGCACUGCUUUUACCCAAAAGCAGGCCCUGAAAUUCAGUGGCGAGCUCGCCAGGACCCCGAGCGCAGUAGUUAAACCCUCGCUCUGGAAGGCCCUGGCGGUGCCCUGCCGUUAAACCCCCAACUUCUGAAAAUUUGACCUCGGAUCAGGUAGGAAUACCCGCUGAACUUAAGCAUAUCAAUAAGCGGAGGAAAUU